GUGGCCAGCCCUCUUCACACAGAGUCAGAUCAUGGCAGAGUUUAACCGUAUAUCUGGCAAAAACCUGCAAACUGAAUUCUUUCAAGAACUGGACAGAUUUACUCCACGUUUCAUCGAUAUCUUCAGGGCUAAAGGUGGAGACAUUGGUUCCAAACUUAAGAAGAUUCUGCAGCAGAUUGAAAAUGACAAAUCGAACAUCAAUGCGGGACGAACAGCCGUUCUUCACGGCCUACCACUCC